rnacentral:lncRNA from 1 species
UGGUGGCUAUUCUUAAAGACAAAAAUUCUAAAGCAAACACAAACAAUUUCAAUAAUUUUUCAGCAGAAACGGCCAAUAACAAGUUUCUAUUAUUACCCAUUCAAUGUUCUGAAGCAAUUAUUUUACCAAUCAAGUAGCAUAAAGAUUUGCAACAAGUUCAAUAAUUGAUCACCAUCGCCACACUUAAAAUCUCAAAUUCAUGUCAAUGUUUCACUAAGGUUGGGAGCACAAUAAUAUCUAGAUCUUGGUGCAUGUUUCACUCCAUUUUGCUAAGAUUUGUACCGGAUACUUCUGCAACAUGAGGCCAUGUUGCCGGCAUAUCAAGAUGGACAAUAUGCAUUAUAUAUACUAAUAGAAAUUGCCAUUC